GCCUACGGCCAUACCACGUUGAACACACCGGUUCUCGUCCGAUCACCGAAGUUAAGCAACGUCGGGCCCGGUUAGUACUUGGAUGGGUGACCGCCUGGGAACACCGGGUGCUGUAGGCG
rnacentral:rRNA from 1 species